AGCGAACGCUGGCGGCAGGCUUAACACAUGCAAGUCGAACGCCCCGCAAGGGGAGUGGCAGACGGGUGAGUAACACGUGGGAACGUACCCUUUGGUUCGGAAUAACUUGGGGAAACUCAAGCUAAUACCGGAUAAGCCCUUAUGGGGAAAGGUUUACUCCCGAAGGAUCGGCCCGCGUCUGAUUAGCUAGUUGGUGAGGUAAUGGCUCACCAAGGCGACGAUCAGUAGCUGGUCUGAGAGGAUGAUCAGCCACACUGGGACUGAGACACGGCCCAGACUCCUACGGGAGGCAGCAGUGGGGAAUAUUGGACAAUGGGGGCAACCCUGAUCCAGCCAUGCCGCGUGAGUGAUGAAGGCCUUAGGGUUGUAAAGCUCUUUUACCCGGGACGAUAAUGACUGUACCGGGAGAAUAAGCCCCGGCUAACUUCGUGCCAGCCGCCGCCGCGG
rnacentral:rRNA from 1 species